GUGGUCAAGCUACUAAGGGCGCAUGGGGGAUGUCUUGGCGUCGAGAGGCGAUGAAGAGCGUGGAAACCUGCGAUAAGCCCUAGGGAGCCGGUAAAUAGGCAGAGAUCUAGGGAUGACCGAAUGGGGCAACCCACCCGCAAGGGUAUCUGGCACUGAAUGCAUAGGUGUCAGAAGCGAACGUGGAGAAGUGAAACAUCUCAGUACCCACAGGAAAAUAAAUCAACCGAGAUUCUCCUAGUAGUGGCGAGCGAAAGGGGAAUAGCCCAAACCUGUAUACUACGGUGUGCAGGGGUUGUGGGACGUCGACAUGUAGCCCGACUGUUAGUCGAACCCUCUGGAAAGUGGGGCCAAAGACGGUGAUAGCCCGGUAGGCGAAAAUAGAGAGGCGCUAGACGUAUCCCGAGUAGGACGAGGCACGUGGAACCUUGUCUGAAUCCGGGGGGACCACCCUCCAAGGCUAAGUACUCCCUAGUGACCGAUAGUGAACAAGUAC
rnacentral:rRNA from 1 species